UGUGUACUCCCUCCGCUCCAAAAUACUUGACUUUCAUUUGUCCAAAAAUGGAUGUACCUAUAUACUAAGACAUGUCUAGAUACAUAUAUAUUUUGACAAAUAGAAGGCAUGUAUUGUGCAACGGAGGGAGUAGAAU
rnacentral:pre_miRNA from 1 species